rnacentral:rRNA from 1 species
GUGUCAGCAGCCGCGGUAAUACGAAGGGUGCUAGCGUUGUUCGGAAUCACUGGGCGUAAAGCGCGCGUAGGCGGCUUUUCAAGUCAGGGGUGAAAUGCCAAGGCUUAACCUUGGAACUGCCUUUGAAACUGUAAAGCUGGAGUGUCGGAGGGGAUAGCGGAAUUCCUAAUGUAGUGGUGAAAUACGUAGAUAUUAGGAGGAACACCGGUGGCGAAGGCGGCUAUCUGGACGACAACUGACGCUGAGGCGCGAAAGCGUGGGGAUCAAACAGGAUUAGAAACCCUGGUAGUCC